UAUACAAGUUAUUUUUAGCUUUGUCGUCAUCUCAAAGUGAAACUAUUGGUCGAUGGUGACGUGACGGUGUCCUGCGAUUGGUCAAUUUAAAGGAAAACUAAAAUUAAAUAAAAGCGCUAUUCGAUAUAUGUAUUGCCAAAAAUCUACUACAACGAAACAAAUCAAUGAUAUAAUAUGAAUGAAGAGACAUGAUGACGUUUCAGGGGGCACAAAUAGAAUGAAAUAUAUAAGUGAAGAAAAAAAAGUAUCAAUAUACCUGCUGAAGUUAAUGAUUAAUAGGAUAAUUAUAGAGAAAUACAAUCAGUAUACUAUAUAUAGUAUAAUAGCAAUGUUAUUUCAAUCAGCAAAAUUAUAAUUUUAAAAAUAGUAAAUAAUGCUGAAUUAU